UAGGGAAUAUUGGGCAAUGGGCGCAAGCCUGACCCAGCCAUGCCGCGUGCAGGAUGAAGGCGCUCAGCGUCGUAAACUGCUUUUAUCGGUGAAGAAUGUUAUCCCCGCGGGGGUAGUUGACGGUAGCCGAG
rnacentral:rRNA from 1 species